CCUACGUGAGGCAGCAGUGAGGAAUAUUGGUCAAUGGGCUUACGCCUGAACCAGCCAAGUCGCGUGAGGGAAGACUGCCCUAUGGGUUGUAAACCUCUUUUGUCAGGGAGCAACGCCGGCUACGUGUAGCCGGACUGAGAGUACCUGAAGAAAAAGCAUCGGCUAACUCCGUGCCAGCAGCCGCGGUAAUACGGAGGAUGCGAGCGUUAUCCGGAUUUAUUGGGUUUAAAGGGUGCGUAGGCGGAAUUUCAAGUCAGCGGUAAAAUCGCGGGGCUCAACCUCGCUCCGCCGUUGAAACUGGCGUUCUUGAGUGGGCGAGAAGUAUGCGGAAUGCGUGGUGUAGCGGUGAAAUGCAUAGAUAUCACGCAGAACUCCGAUUGCGAAGGCAGCAUACCGGCGCCCAACUGACGCUGAAGCACGAAAGCGUGGGUAUCGAACAGGAUUAGAUACCCCUGUAGUC
rnacentral:rRNA from 1 species